GGGGUGUAUUUAUGCAAAGGAUGUUUAACAUUAAACGUUAUUGUUUUUGUUAUGCACUGGGCCUGCGUAUUCUUUACCUUAUAUUAUGGCUCUAGUAAGGGUGGUUGCAGACUAGCGUUUUAUACGCACCUAUAAAGUCGUUUUAGAAAUGCUAGUCUGAAACGCCCUAAGGCGUGUAACAAGGUAUCCCAUGCUAAGACCACAAAAAACGCUACAAACUUUGGCUCCGGAAACCCAAACACAAACAAUUAUCCCAUUGCCAAACUAACCAUUUUUUACUUUUUCAGAAUAUGACUACAUAUGCCAGAACUACUUUCCAUGGUUUAAUUCAAAAUAUAUUUUACAAACGAGAGCCUGCUACUGGGUUUCGAACUACAAAGAAAAUUUUGAGAGCGCAAGAAAAAAAUGCGAAUCUAUGGAUUCAAGACUGAUAGUCUUCGAAAACGCGUUUGAGUUUGAACUCAUAGUGAAGUAUGUCAAAAGUGUCAUAGACAAGAAUGAUUAUAUUCUUUUCGGCUAUAAAAAAAAGAACAACAAGUUUCGAGAAUAUUAUACAGAUAGAACUGAGGAUGAUAUAAAGUACACAUUAAAAAGGCAUCCAGAGAGUGAACGUUGGACACGCUGGCUUGGCGCUGAACGUGACGCAUACUGUAUGGUCGGCGUUCUGUAUCACAACCUCGAAGCUAUAAGCGCGGGCUGUGAACAAUAUUAUUUCUACUUUAUUUGCAAGCGUACUUUAUAUGCGUCUAAUUAAGGUGUAUGAUUUGCAUCACAACCUAUUCCGAAUUUAAAAAAAAAUUACUCACUUUGUAUGUGAAAAAAAUGUGAUUUCACGAUUAACUUGAGACACCUAAUAUAAUGAUAUCAUUA